UACGUAGAUGGCAAGCGUUGUCCGGAAUUAUUGGGCGUAAAGCGCGCGCAGGUGGUUUUCUUAAGUCUGAUGUGAAAGCCCCACGGCUCAACCGUGGAGGGUCAUUGGAAACUGGGGAACUUGAGUGCAGGAGAGAAGAGUGGAAUUCCACGUGUAGCGGUGAAAUGCGUAGAGAUGUGGAGGAACACCAGUGGCGAAGGCGCUUUCUGGUCUGUAACUGACACUGAGGCACGAAAGCGUGGGGAGCAAACAGG
rnacentral:rRNA from 1 species